UUUAACAUCCAGGGCGAACACCUGCACUUGGAAAAUUAAUUAGCAAGUUUCGCUGUAUGUGUGAUAUUCUUAUAGGUUGUAUACCGUUGCUGGUGCUGCCUCUUUUCCGCACUAUCUUGUUAACCUGUGAUCAGGCUAAAAAGGAUCUUCACCAACCUAGUUUAGUUUAUGCACUAAAUUUUCUUCGAAACCAAGUCGACAUAGAUACGGUCUGUGUUUGAAAUGACGAUUAUCGCCCGCUUCUUUGUGGUUAUUUACUGGAUGGUUGCGGUUCGUCUAUUCAAUCAAGGACAUAUUGGUCCCGACAGAUUUCAUGUUGACGGAAAAUGUAUUCCACAAGGGGCUACUGAAGAAGGUCCGACGUACGGAACAAUCGAAGCAGCAGUCGUUGUAAGUUCCGAAUUAGCUUCUUCCUUCAAGGAAUCUACUGAUCACGAGCACCAACGACUACUUGACUACCUGCGCCUCUUAUUUGCGGCCGUGAACCUCAACCUGCGAAGGACUGACACAGAUAUUCUCGACCUGAAACUUGUAGUUACUGACAUUAUGGUGCUCAAGGAAUAUUCCGAAUUUCUUAACGGAAGGUUUUCAAAGAACCUUGAGCUAAUCGCAGCGAGCUCACCGUUUCUUUUGACAAACUACAUGAAGACCCAGCUCCAUGUGUUUUCUGGUAUCGAUGCAGUGUUAUACCUUAGCAGGUAUGGCAUAUACUGGUUGCGCCUGCAGCGACCUUGGUGGUGCCUUAAUAUAUGUCGAUUCAAACACAAUGAGCAGCGCAGCGACUCUUACCCACGAAAUACUUCAUCUCGUAGGCUCAGUACAUGAUACAAAAGCCGCACCCGCUUACCUUAAAGAUAGCCCUGGGGCACAAAGUUGUCCGAAUGAUCGAACAUUUAUUAUGGCAGAAUACUUUAAGCCAGAGCAAGAAUCCUUCCUCCGAUUGUCUACUUGCACCCGCGAUCAAGUUAAGGCUUUUAUAAGAAGCUCACGGGGUCAAUGUCUUUUAAAUAAGCGGCCGCGAUGGUGGCCACCGCUGUCUGAAGCAAUCCUGCGAAAGCCCAUCGUGGACCCAGAUAGGUAUUGCAAAUACCUCUACCGUAAUUCUAGUGUGGACCACCUGUCGUAUUACAGCGAGGAACACAACAUUGCAAAGUGUAUUGUGGUUUGCACAACAAUUGGUGCGGAUGGAGAAAAACAACACAACAUGCAUGCAGCACCAGACUACACAGAUUGUAGCGCCAUUGGUGGCGGACACAAGGUCUGCAAAUAUCAAAUUUGCAUGGAGGUUCCACGUAAACAACCACCAUUACAUGAGUGGAUAAUGAAUCUCACAAGCGCUAACAUUCAGGUAUCUGAUGCCUUGAAAGAAUCAGACACGGAUAAAAUUUCGGACCUUCGAGCCCUACUUCAAAUAUAAAUAAUAAAUACACACAAUAUUUC